GCUCCUGCUGCCGCAGCUCCAGCCGCUGCCGCUCGAUCAACUCGGGCUCCGACUCGAGCGCGUCGAAGACCGCGGCGCCCACCAGCAGACCACAGAAUAACUGAAGCUGGAGAGAGCCUUAGACUGCCCAGUGCCCAGGAGGAAAUGGCCCUGGUGAAAGGAGUGAGCACCUCCAGGCCUCAUGACUGUCCUGACUUCCCAACCGAUGCCUACAAGAUAAGUUCCCUAAACUUGCCUUACUCCCAUUGCAAGAACUAAAUCCCUAAAGCCUGUCCUCUGCAGAGAUUCCGGAAUGGCCAUGGCUGUAUUUCCUGACAAACAUGUUGCUGUUAAAGAAAAAAGUGAGCCUGGAGCCCUGGUCAACAGCCUCACAAAUCUUGAAAUCCUUCUUUGCAGCUUUAUGGCUUCUGAGAAGCAAGCAGGGCAGAGGCAGCCUGUUCUCAGCACCAAACACAAUAAUUAUAAGAGCACUUGCAGUGAUUAAUCAGCCAAGAACACCCUGCAAGAUUUCUGGACACUGUCAGAAAGCUGAGGCAGGAUUUUAAACAGAAGUUCUAGGACUCUGGGCUGGUACCAAGCAACCACAGCAAACCAAACGCACCAGACAGGACUCACCAGUGGAAGUAACCAGAAGGCCAGAGACCUCUGCAGUGACCAGCUGUGACACCCUGGGCAAGCCACGGCCCUUCCCUGGGCAGCAGAUGCCUCUUCUCCAACAUGGGACGAUGAUGAAAGUAAUGUCCACACAGCCCACCUUCUGCGGGGGUUGGGAGACUCCAAGCGAGGUGAUGAGUGAGACUAAGAUAGUGAGGAUGCUAUUAAGAGCUGAGGCUCAGGUCCCCUUCUUCAACCCAGCCCUUCUCCCUGUUUUGAUUUUCAUGACUGUAGCUUGAGAGCAGGGUGGCCUUGCUGGAGCAAGUAGGGGCCACCUGACUUCCAGCUCCUCCUGGCCUUGGUGAGGGCCGGUACCCAUGGAAUUAGACCCAAGCCUUGGCCUGUCCAGACAGAGAAGCCCUGGCAUGGAUUGGCGACCUUGUUUCAGAGACUGGCGUUGAGCAGAGCUGCUUCUCCGGGGCUGGGCUCACUGGAGACAGGAAGGAGGAGCAGGGCAGGGGCCGGGGCACUGAGGCAGGCCCACAGUGCCCUGCUCCUCCAUGCCUGGCACUAACCACCUGCCAGGAGAGAGGCUGUGAGGAAGAAGCCACAUCUUAUUCGGGGAGUGAUGGAGGGAAGGCUGGGCUGGAGGGUGCUUGGAAAGCCUGGAGGCCAUCCAAAGCAACCUGCACUGCCACUUGGAGGCAGUGAGGGGACAUGAAAGGUGCCAGGGCAGGGGCAUCACACGAUGCAAUAGUGGUCUGCACCAUUGCCCUCCUCUCCAGCACUCCUCUCUGGCCACACUCCCUGCUGCUCCCUUAGGGCUCUUAGUACCUGCCUUCUGUAUUCUAUUAAUAUAUAGUUCCAAAUGCACCAGGUGUUCUCUUGUCUUUGUGCCAGAAAUACACAUUAUACCAGGUACGUAUUUGAAUGCAUUUAGUGCAUCCAGCAACCCUAGGAAUGGCAUUAUUCCCAGCUUACAGAUGGGAAAACUGAGGCUCACAGCGAAGCAACUUGCCUAGGCUCUGACAGUUAGAUAGACAACAGAUAUAAGGUUUAAACCCAGCUUGGUCUGAUUCCAAAGUCUGUGCUUUCCCUCCUCUGACACUCCCUCACUAGAAAGUGGUGGAGGACAGAGCUUAGCAGCGACAGGGGUGUAAAACAGAAGGUGUUAUCAAUGCUGGGCCUGGUGCACAGUUAGAGCUUAGCAAAAUAGCAGUCACAUAAACCAAUGAGUAGCUCAGAGAGGAAGGCUGUCGCAAGGGCUGGGACAGAGCACCUGGGUUUAUACCAGGAGGGACAGAUGCUCAACUUGGAGCAGGAAGCAGGAGGAGCUGUGGGUGCCCGUGUGACUCCAGCUUGCCAAGGGACUGGGAGAGGGGACUGUCAGUGAAUACACUGGUGGCCCAUCCACCCUGGAGGUGAGGGCAGAGCUGUUCAUGGCCCAACCCUGGGAAGUGCCCAGGCACCCAGCCUAAGCAAGGACUCGGAAGGGCCUUCACAUCUGUGCACAAAUUGAAGGAGGCCUUUGUGGCUUUGAGGUGGGUGCCUCGGAGAACAGCCAUGUCUCCGGGGUACCCAGUGAUCUGAAGGAGAACAGACCAUCUAACCGCAUGGACCAGGGUUGGCCCCAGCACUGGGUUGCCAUGGGGAGGCCCAGGGGGUACCCAGGCUCUGAGCUUCGCAGAUCUCAGAUGGAUCCAGGGAUGGUGCAGUGCAGUGAUGCAUGGAAACCACAGCAUGUCAGAGACGCAGAUCAGCUGGGAGGCAGCGCGCUGGCGGAAGGGCACGGUGCCGAUGGAAAAUGUGAUGUCGUUAAGGAACAAUGUGGGCCAAAGGAAUGAGCUGUAACUUGCUGGAUCCAAAGGACAAUCAGGAAAGCGGCUGCCAGAGGUUCAGGGGUGUCUGAUGAUGGCCUGACACUGCCCUGGGGGAGGGACGGAGCCCCAGCCCAGAGUCUAGAAGGGAAUCACCCCAUGGGCUCCAUGGCCCUUUUCUGUCCCCUAAUACCGUGCCAAGCAAACCUUCUGGUCUAUUAAUAAAUGCUUGAUGAAUUGA